rnacentral:lncRNA from 1 species
GCGGACGCGCGUUUCUCCGGCACGUUUUACUCCCAGCCCUCCCCGUCGUUGCCGUCCUGCGGCCCCGCGGGGGCGGCGGAGGCGGCGAAGGGCGGCGGGCAGCGCGCGAACAGCCACUCGUCCUCCUUGCGCAGCCAACGCAGCAGCCGCGUCAGCGCAGCGAUGGCCGCCGCCUUCGGGAGCAGAGGGCUGAGGGACGCGUACAGCUCGAAGCGCGGCGUCACCCAUGCCAGCAGCGUCUCGCAGGCGGUGACGCGGUAGAGCAGCCGCAGGGGGCGCUGUGC